UAGCUAGUUAUCUUGGUGCAGUGAAGUC
rnacentral:piRNA from 1 species